AUCCAUACAAGACAGAGGGGACAAACAUGCCGAACGGUGGUUUCCAUGGUUCACUUUCAUGUCACGAAACACAGGGGGCUAGGACGGUGACCCGACGGCUUACGCGGGGGCGCAGGGCCCUCUGGGGCAAGGCCAAUGUGCAUGUCCUAAUUAUAUGAACCCUACUCCAUCCACGCCUCCUGUAGAAUGGAUACACCUCUGCGACCCCCUCAUUCUCCCUCUCUUCUGGCCAUAUAUCUAAACUACCGCCAGUGAAUGGUUAAAUGACCUAUUUGACCCUAGAACACGCACCUGGCCGAAGAUGGAGGCCACGAACCGAACACACGUAGAUAAGUGACAUUGAGCGCGCUAUAUGUUA